rnacentral:rRNA from 1 species
GUGCCAGCCGCCGCGGUAAUACGUAGGGGGCAAGCGUUAUCCGGAUUUAUUGGGCGUAAAGCGCGCGUAGGCGGCCUAUUGGUCGGGAGUUAAAACCGGGGGCUCAACCCCCGUCCGCUUCCGAUACCGGUAGGCUUGAGUCUGGUAGGAGAAGGUGGAAUUCCCAGUGUAGCGGUGGAAUGCGCAGAUAUUGGGAAGAACACCGGUGGCGAAGGCGACCUUCUAGGCCAUGACUGACGCUGAGGCGCGAAAGCUGGGGGAGCGAACAGGAUUAGAUACCCUGGUAGUCCCAGCCGUAAACGAUGGACACUAGGUGUGGGAGGUGUUCCUUCCGUGCCGCAGCUAACGCAUUAAGUGUCCCGCCUGGGGAGUACGGCCGCAAGGCUAAAACUCAAAGGAAUUGACGGGGCCCGCACAAGCAGCGGAGCAUGUGGCUUAAUUCGAAGCAACGCGAAGAACCUUACCAGGGCUUGACAUAUAGGUGAAGCGGCGGAGACGCCGUAGCCGAAAGGAGCCUAUACAGGUGUGCAUGGCUGU